rnacentral:rRNA from 1 species
CAUAACCCCGGGAAACUGGGUAUAAUACCCGAUAGGUCUCGAUUGCUGGAAUGCAUCGAGAUUUAAAGCUCCGGCGCCUAAGGAUGGGUCUGCGGCCUAUCAGGUAGUAGUGGGUGUAGCGUACCUACUAGCCUACGACGGGUACGGGUUGUGAGAGCAAGAGCCCGGAGAUGGAUUCUGAGACACGAAUCCAGGCCCUACGGGGUGCAGCAGGCGCGAAAACUUUACAAUGCUGGCAACAGCGAUAAGGGAACCUCGAGUGCCAGGUUACAAAUCUGGCUGUCGAGAUGCCUAAAAAGCAUUUCAUAGCAAGGGCCGGGCAAGACCGGUGCCAGCCGCCGCGGUAACACCGGCGGCUCGAGUGGUAACCGUUAUUAUUGGGUCUAAAGGGUCUGUAGCCGGCCGGAUAAGUCUCUUGAGAAAUCUGGCAGCUUAACUGUCAGGCUUUCAGGAGAUACUGUCUGGCUCGAGGCCGGGAGAGGUGAGAGGUACUUCAGGGGUAGGGGUGAAAUCUUGUAAUCCUUGAAGGACCACCAGUGGCGAAGGCGUCUCACCAGAACAGACCUGACGGCAAGGGACGAAAGCUACGGGCACGAACCGGAUUAGAUACCCGGGUAGUCCUAGCCGUAAACGAUACUCGCUAGGUGUCGGCCACGGUGCGACCGCUGUCGGUGCCGUACGGAAGCCGUGCAGCGAGCCACCUGGGAAGUACGGCCGCAAGGCUGAAACAUAAUGGAAUUGUUGUGGGAGCAACACAACGGGUGGAGCGUGCCGUGUUAUUGAAUUCAAUGCCAGGACAUCAUAAUCUUGACCGACACCAAUAUCAAUGCGAGGCUGAAGCACGUAUACCUGACCAGCAUUAUAGGUAGAGCAU